CUUGGUUGAGGGUGCAAGGCAAGUGAUUUGACCUCUGAGUUUGGGUGACAGGUGGGUGGAGACCCCAUCGACUAAGGCUGAGCACUGCCCCUGUGAGAUCCACUGGGGACAGUCACGUGGGAGAGGAAAGUGGGGAGGGGGGAGACCAAUUUUGAAUGGAAAAGGAAAAUGCUCAGCUCCAAAUUAGCAGCAUUUUCCUCUGGCCUUGCUUUUCUUCACUUGUUUACCUGUAACUUCUUCCAACUCCGGCUGCUGGGGACAGAGAGAAGCGGAAGACAGGAAUCCUCCAGGGGCUCAGAUGCUGCUCGGCUCGCGAUGUAGCCUGACAAAUCAAUUCUUCAAACUCGUCCUGCCUGGUCUUGCUGAAGUGUAAAUUGCAGAGAGGGGAGUGGAGCCAUCCUCAGGCACUGCGCAGGCCAGGUGGUCCUGGGGGUUCCACCCUUGCCGAGAGUCCUUCCCUGACCACCUGAGCACCGGUCCUGAGGUUGGAUCCUGAGCAGCUGGCUGGACAGACGGAUGGACA